rnacentral:rRNA from 1 species
GCUUGUCUCAAAGAUUAAGCCAUGCAUGUCUAAGUAUAAACAAAUUUAUAGUGAAACUGCGAAUGGCUCAUUAUAUCAGUUAUAGUUUAUUUGGCGAUAAAAACUACUUGGAUAACCGUAGUAAUUCUAGAGCUAAUACAUGCAUCAUCCCCCAUCUCGGGGUGUAUUUAUUAGAUGGAAACCAAUUCGGGGUAACCCGGUUUAUGGUGAUUCAUAAUAACUUUCGGAUCGACGCAAGUCGAUGCAUCAUUCAAGUUUCUGCCCUAUCAGUUGUGGAUGGUAGGGUAUUGGCCUACCAUGACUUUAACGGGUAACGGAGAAUUAGGGUUCGAUUCCGGAGAGGGAGCCUGAGAAAUGGCUACCACAUCCAAGGAAG